CCUACGGGAGGCUGCAGUGAGGAAUAUUGGUCAAUGGGCGAGAGCCUGAACCAGCCAAGUCGCGUGAGGGAGUACUGCCCUAUGGGUUGUAAACCUCUUUUGUCGGGGAGCAAAAGCCGGACGUGUCCGGCUGUGAGAGUACCCGAAGAAAAAGCAUCGGCUAACUCCGUGCCAGCAGCCGCGGUAAUACGGAGGAUGCGAGCGUUAUCCGGAUUUAUUGGGUUUAAAGGGUGCGCAGGCGGAUUUUUAAGUCAGCGGUAAAAUCGUGGGGCUCAACCCCAUCCAGCCGUUGAAACUGGGGAUCUAGAGUGUGCGAGAGGUAUGCGGAAGGCGUGGUGUAGCGGUGAAAUGCAUAGAUAUCACGCAGAACCCCGAUUGCGAAGGCAGCAUACCGGUGCACAACUGACGCUCAGGCACGAAAGCGUGGGUAUCGAACAGGAUUAGAUACCCUGGUAGUC
rnacentral:rRNA from 1 species